rnacentral:rRNA from 1 species
UUCUCUGAUGUUAGCGGCGGACGGGUGAGUAACACGUGGAUAACCUACCUAUAAGACUGGGAUAACUUCGGGAAACCGGAGCUAAUACCGGAUAAUAUUUUGAACCGCAUGGUUCAAAAGUGAAAGACGGUCUUGCUGUCACUUAUAGAUGGAUCCGCGCUGCAUUAGCUAGUUGGUAAGGUAACGGCUUACCAAGGCGACGAUACGUAGCCGACCUGAGAGGGUGAUCGGCCACACUGGAACUGAGACACGGUCCAGACUCCUACGGGAGGCAGCAGUAGGGAAUCUUCCGCAAUGGGCGAAAGCCUGACGGAGCAACGCCGCGUGAGUGAUGAAGGUCUUCGGAUCGUAAAACUCUGUUAUUAGGGAAGAACAUAUGUGUAAGUAACUGUGCACAUCUUGACGGUACCUAAUCAGAAAGCCACGGCUAACUACGUGCCAGCAGCCGCGGUAAUACGUAGGUGGCAAGCGUUAUCCGGAAUUAUUGGGCGUAAAGCGCGCGUAGGCGGUUUCUUAAGUCUGAUGUGAAAGCCCACGGCUCAACCGUGGAGGGUCAUUGGAAACUGGAAAACUUGAGUGCAGAAGAGGAAAGUGGAAUUCCAUGUGUAGCGGUGAAAUGCGCAGAGAUAUGGAGGAACACCAGUGGCGAAGGCGGCUCUCUGGUCUGUAACUGACGCUGAUGUGCGAAAGCGUGGGGAUCAAACAGGAUUAGAUACCCUGGUAGUCCACGCCGUAAACGAUGAGUGCUAAGUGUUAGGGGGUUUCCGCCCCUUAGUGCUGCAGCUAACGCAUUAAGCACUCCGCCGGGGGAGUACGACCGCAAGGUUGAAACUCAAAGGAAUUGACGGGGACCCGCACAAGCGGUGGAACAUGUGGUUUAAUUCGAAGCAACGCGAAGAACCUUACCAAAUCUUGACAUCCUUUGACAACUCUAGAGAUAGAGCUUUCCCCUUCGGGGGACAAAGUGACAGGUGGUGCAUGGUUGUCGUCACCUCGUGUCGUGAGAUGUUGGGUUAAGUCCCGCAACGAGCGCAACCCUUAAGCUUAGUUGCCAUCUUUAAGUUGGGCACUCUAGGUUGACUGCCGGUGACA